CAGGGUAAGCUGAUAUCUACAUGUAGCAUCAAGGUACACUCCUGACAUCUACCUGUAGAUUCAGGGUAAGCUGACAUCUACCUGUAGCAUCAAGGUAAGCUGACAUCUACCUGUAGAUUCAAGGUACCGGUAAUCCCUUGACAUCUACCUGUAGCAUCAAGGUAAGCUACUGAUGAAACAUAACAAAGUAUUUCCAUCAAAGCAGUCCACAUAAUGUUCCAUAAUCUUACAAAAUACUUUUUGUUUGAGAGGU